GCAAACUUGGUCAUUUAGAGGAAGUAAAAGUCGUAACAAGGUUUCCGUAGGUGAACCUGCGGAAGGAUCAUUGUUGAAUAAUGCUUGAUAGGUUGUAGCUGACUCUUAGGAGUAUGUGCACGCCUGUCUUGGACUCUAUUCAUCCACCUGUGCACUAUUUGUAGUCUUUGGAGACUGAGAUUGGGACAGCUUUACAAGUCGGUCAAUAGGCCGGAAUAGAGGAUUGCUUGAGCAGCUGCUAAUGUACAAGCUCUCCUUAAUAGCCUGUGAACACUCACUCCAGAGUCUAUGUUUUCAUUCAUAAACCAAGUAUGUUGUCGAAUGGUAUUCAUUGGGCUUAAAAUGCCUAUAAAAUAUUAUACAACUUUCAGCAACGGAUCUCUUGGCUCUCGCAUCGAUGAAGAACGCAGC
rnacentral:misc_RNA from 1 species